AAUAAUGUGAUGUCGUUGUUAAACCGGUGCUCGGUAUUCUCCGUGUGAGAAGGAAGGAUGUAGAACGAGCUAACGCCUUAGCUUAGCUUAGCAGGAGGCUAGGUAGCUAGAACUUGGUGCUCUUGUAAACCUUUUUUUUUGUUGCUGAAUUUAAUCAUAAACACAUUGUUUGUAUGGAUAUGAAUGAAGAUCAGCACCAUUAAUAUACGUGAGAAAGAGACAAAUUUUGAAAAAAAUAUAUAUAUCCGGUUUUCGAUUUAACUGGUUCCGGUACCUGUCAGCUGCAGAUCCUCUUCCUGUGGCUCAGCGUUAAGAAGGAAAUCAUUUAGUGUGUGUUGACAGAGUAUACAGUCGGAAUUAGUUCGUUACGUUUUGAAAAGUAUUUUCUGUGAUGGUGUGUUCUGUUGCGCGCGGCUGUCAUGUGGCGGAGACAUCGAGAAAACAAUCCCGAUGAGUUUUCGUGUAUUUCCUGAGAGGAGCCGAAGGGAACCAGCUGAUUCAUGUAUGACAUCAUCGAUCUAUGUGUGACAUCAUCGGUCUUCAUGUGACGGACACGGUGAUUGUCGAGGGAUGUCAGUUUUAAGACUUUUGCUGUGGUGAGAUCGAAUCCUGCUCAAUGUGAUCUUUCUUUGACGGAGCCCGUCCCGAUCUCGCAGCUCAGCCUCCCCCCGUCUGCGCCAGUCAUGCCGCUGGUGGUGGACGCCGUUUGGGCGCUGUGGAGCAUCGGAGCCGGCGUCUACGACUACUUCCACACCAGCGCCAUGGAGGAGAGGAUCGACACGCUGGAGAACGCUCUCACCAUCCACCAGUUUGUGAUCACAGGCCUGUCUGCGGGCCUCAUCCUGCUCCUGAUGUACAUACUGUGGAGAACACACUAAGAACCUCCGGGAGGAGCUACUGCCGCCAGGCGCCGAGCAACCCCUCUGUACGUGUUGCUUUUGACGCAGGGUGUCUUUCGUCACCCAGGCUAGAUUCCAUCCAGAUGUUGGCCACAGGGACGGUCUGAUCCACACAUCUGCUCACGCUUGUUGUCUCAAAAGAGAUGAGGAGCACGGAUGGACGAAAACAAACCCUCUACAAGGUCACGCAGGUCAUUAACCCACGAGAUGCUACUUUUUUCUUUUUUUUUAACCCUGUCAGCACAAACCUCCAUCAUGAUAUGUUUGUGAAUAUAACCUCAGUUUGUCGUGUUAAUGGAUUUCUCUAAGAUGACGCAACUGUCUCGUUAUCUCGACUCGAUAGUCUCUGUCCUGAGACGACAAGAUGGUGGUCGUUUCGUAACAGGUUCUCCUCUUUUAUCUCUGCUCUGUUCUCCUCAAUCUCACAGAGCUGAGAGGAUCAAUCCCAAACUGAAAUCCACUUUUGUAUCGACUAUAAAGUAGAUAAAGUCUGCUGUCUGGAUCUACUGAGCAGAGUCUAUGUUUGGAGGUGGUGGGCAAAUCAAGGCUCCUGGGCCAAACCUGUUUCUCCCGAAAACAAAAGCUAAAGUUUUCAAUCUUCACUUUAAAUUAACAAUUCCUCAUUAAAAUUUUGGACGAAAUCAUGAAACAAAAUACAACAAACGAUCAGUAGGAACUCAUAACAUUUAAUAAUAUCAAAAUCUAAAAAAAACUAAAAAAACAACGUCAAUAAUAUAAAUUGACAUUUCCACUCUUUUAGUAAAAACACAUAUCAUGAUGAUCCGACGCCAGAAUUUCUUAAAUAAGGUAAAGUUGUGUCUUUAAUCACGUUGUCAGGGAAACAGCCGGCUCGGGGCAGAACAGUUUUUAGUUUAAAAGGCAAAGCGGUGAUUUAAUAUAUAAUAUAUGAUAAUUAAUGUGCUGCUGGCGGACGACUAAAAAUAAGACAAAAACAAAACACUAAUGAAGUUCACUACACUGGGAAAUUAAUUAUUAUUUUUUUGUGUGUGUCAUGCUGAGGACAAAGGAUUUUGUCGUAUGUGUUUCGGAACAGCACAUCCUGUGUGUGUGCGUUUAAGUAGUCCGCGUUUACAUUUUUAUAUCGUCGCUCAGAUUCCCCUGUGUGUUAAAAUGAUUUAAUCACUUUUUCCUCUGUUGUUUUUCCUGCUCACUGUCCGUUUAUCGUGUCCACGACUGCACCGAACGACUAAAGGGAAUAUUGUAUCAGUAAUAAGCCAGAGCUUUUGCCUUGUCUGUGUUUUAAGUACCCUUUUUUUGUUCCCUGUCAUGUUUCAUGAGUUGUUUUUAAAUAGAAUAAAUAAAAUAAUGUUAAAUUUA